rnacentral:rRNA from 1 species
CCUACGGGAGGCAGCAGUAAGGAAUAUUGGUCAAUGGACGCAAGUCUGAACCAGCCAUGCCGCGUGAAGGAUUAAGGUCCUCUGGAUUGUAAACUUCUUUUAUCUGGGACGAAAAAAGGCGAUUCUUCGUCACUUGACGGUACCAGAUGAAUAAGCACCGGCUAACUCCGUGCCAGCAGCCGCGGUAAUACGGAGGGUGCAAGCGUUAUCCGGAUUCACUGGGUUUAAAGGGUGCGUAGGCGGGCAGGUAAGUCAGUGGUGAAAUCCUAGAGCUUAACUCUAGAACUGCCAUUGAUACUAUCUGUCUUGAAUAUUGUGGAGGUAAGCGGAAUAUGUCAUGUAGCGGUGAAAUGCUUAGAUAUGACAUAGAACACCUAUUGCGAAGGCAGCUUACUACGCAUAUAUUGACGCUGAGGCACAAAAGCGUGGGGAUCAAACAGGAUUAGAUACCCUGGUAGUCCACGCCCUAAACGAUGAUUACUCGACAUUUGUGAUACACUAUAAGUGUNUGAGNGAAGANAUAAGUAAUACACCNGGAGUACGACCGACGAGUAGAACGUACAAAUAGAAGUUAGUACGGACGUGAGGACGUUGGCCGACGGACGACGACGACGGGGAGGGUAGGGAG